rnacentral:rRNA from 1 species
CCUACGGGAGGCAGCAGUGGGGGAUAUUGCACAAUGGGGGGAACCCUGAUGCAGCGACGCCGCGUGGGUGAAGGAGCGUUUCGGCGCGUAAAGCUCUAUCGGCAGGGAAGAGGGAGGAAGGUACCUGACAAAGAAGCCCCGGCUAACUACGUGCCAGCAGCCGCGGCAAUACGUAGGGGGCAAGCGUUAUCCGGAUUUACUGGGUGUAAAGGGAGCGUAGACGGUUAGGCAAGUCAGGAGUGAAAGGCUGGGGCUCAACCCCCGGACUGCUUUUGAAACUGUAUAACUGGAGUGCAGGAGAGGUAAGUGGAAUUCCUAGUGUAGCGGUGAAAUGCGUAGAUAUUAGGAGGAACACCAGUGGCGAAGGCGGCUUACUGGACUGUAACUGACGUUGAGGCUCGAAAGCGUGGGGAGCAAACAGGAUUAGAUACCCUUGUAGUC